GACGAACGCUGGCGGCGUGCUUAACACAUGCAAGUCGAACGGAAAGGCUCCAGCUUGCUGGAGUACUCGAGUGGCGAACGGGUGAGUAACACGUGGGUAAUCUGCCCUGCACUCUGGGAUAAGCCUGGGAAACUGGGUCUAAUACUGGAUAUGACCUUUCUCCUUAUGUGGUUUGGUGGAAAGUUUUUCGGUGUAGGAUGAGCCCGCGGCCUAUCAGCUUGUUGGUGGGGUGAUGGCCUACCAAGGCGACGACGGGUAGCCGGCCUGAGAGGGUGAUCGGCCACAUUGGGACUGAGAUACGGCCCAGACUCCUACGGGAGGCAGCAGUGGGGAAUAUUGCACAAUGGGCGGAAGCCUGAUGCAGCGACGCCGCGUGAGGGAUGACGGCCUUCGGGUUGUAAACCUCUUUCAGCAGGGACGAAGCGUAAGUGACGGUACCUGCAGAAGAAGCACCGGCUAACUAUGUG
rnacentral:rRNA from 1 species